ACGGAGGGUGCAAGCGUUAUCCGGAAUCACUGGGCGUAAAGCGUGCGUAGGUGGAUGUUUAAGUGAGUUGUUAAAUCGUGUGGCUCAACCAUAUCGAUGCAUCUCAUACUGGACGUCUAGAGGCCAGCAGAGGCAAGUGGAAUUACGAGUGUAGCGGUAAAAUGCGUAGAUAUUCGUAGGAACACCAAUGGCGAAGGCAGCUUGCUGGGCUACUCCUGACACUGAGGUACGAAAGCGUGGGGAGCGAACAGGA
rnacentral:rRNA from 1 species